UUUAGACACAGUCAUUUUCCAGGAAAGUUUUGUUUUCUAAAAAAACCAGCCCAUCUACUCUGUUCAGAUGCUGUUGUGACCCCAUCUCUGAGUGAGUGUGGGCGGUUGGGGUGGAGUAGGUCAGGCUGGUCCCCUCUUCUGCCGCCCACUGACAGACAGUUUUUCUUCUCUUCCUCAGGGAGCCAACCUUGCCCUUCGGGGCCUUUAUGCCAAACAAGCCUACAUUGUCUGCAUCAAAAGGACAGAAGAUUACAGAAUAAAAACAGAAAAAGGAGAAGAAGUGGCCACAUAUGGAUUCGAGAAGAUCAUGGUGAUUCAAGCAUGGCUAUGUUGAGUGAAGUCUAUGUGAUUUUCAUUUGGAGAAGAAGAGAGUUGAUUCAUCCUGAUUGGACAAUGGUGAAUGAGACUCAGGAGCUGUGUCUGCUUCCUGACUUCUUACUUGACCAGGGAGGAUGUGAAUGGUUGUGUGAAGGGGGUUGUUCCCACUCUACUGUGGGAACAAUUCCCAGGAAUGAUCUAUCUUCCUCUCUCACUGAGUGUCUACUGUGUAUUUUUAUGGCACUAAUUACUACAUGGGGGCCCUAA
rnacentral:lncRNA from 12 species